rnacentral:RNase_P_RNA from 2 species
GAAGUCAACCGGAUGGUCGCGGGGGUAAGAGCCGAAAGGCUGCCUCUGAGGAAAGUCCGGGCUCCAUAGGGCACGGUGCUGGAUAACGUCCAGUGGGGGAGACCCCAAGGAAAGUGCAACAGAGAUAUACCGCCUGGGUGUUCGUAAGGACACUCCGGUAAGGGUGGAAAGGCGAGGUAAGAGCUCACCGGCAACCUGGUGACAGGUUGGCCCUGCAAACCCCACCUGGAGCAAGACCGAAUAGGGGGACUAUGGAACGGCCCGUUCUCGUCCCCGGGUAAGGUCGCAUGAGGUCGUUGGUAACAGCGGCCCAAGAUAGAUGAUCAUCGCCUUCCGUAAGGAAGGAGACAAAACCCGGCUUAUAGGUUGACUUCGCCA